rfam:Oryza punctata chromosome 6, whole genome shotgun sequence.
AUCCCAUGAUGUGGACAGGCGGCAACGUUUUCCUACAAUCUUUCCCAUGCUUCCGGGAUCGUCUCAUCUUUCGUCUGCUGGAAGUUGGAUAUUCUUCCACAAAGGGC